rnacentral:lncRNA from 1 species
CCGAAUUUGGGGCUGCCCUGGAAGACUGAGCAACAGUUCAUGAAGGGAGCAGCUUUUCUUGCUGUUCGGGAUUUUCCCCAUACCCUCUCUGGCUCACCAUGUCCCAAACUGCACUACCCAUCUUCCCCUGAAAACUCUUUUCUCCUCCAGGGUACCCCAUCUCACAGAUGACACCAGCCCAGAAAACCGGAAGUCACCUUGACCACCUUCCUUCCUCCAGGAAUUGUAUUCCCUAACAGGAGGUAAAGACACUGGACUUGGAGCCAGGAUGAUGAAAUCCUGCACCCACUUGUGGUAUUGAGGCCAGCACUGUUACUUAUCUGAAGGCCACUUUUUUAAUCCAGCAUAAUGGGCAGCUCCUGUCCUGCCUAUCUCUAGGGAUUGGGUUUCAGAUGAAACAUGGAUGGAUAUACUUAUGCUUGGGGGCAGUCCCCAUAGGUUAUGCUAUAGUAUUUCACUGGGAACUGGCUUUAUGUCCCUGAGCAUCCCUCUCCCUAAAUUAAGGUCUCCAGGAUUCCUUUUGUUCACCAUUUCCCUGCUGGUGGCUGCAGGGGCAGCAUCACAAAGCAGCACUUGGUUUAUGCUCCUUCCUGCACUGGCUCCCUGGACCCCCCACACUUUCUGACCAAGCCCUACUCCCAGACGUUGAAUCUCUCUUUGGAGGCUCUUGGCCAGUGUCUGUGUCCUUCACUAACCCAGGCCCUCACAGUGCAGGAGAAGCUCAUUCCUCAGACUUGCCUAGGGAAGGAAAGGGUGGGGAGGUUAGAAUGGGACAAGAGGAUGUGGAUAGAGUGGCCCAUUAUUCAUUGCACUGUCAGACUCACCUACCACCCUGUUCUCCCUUACCACAGCCCCGUCAGAUGAAGAUUAUUCUUCCAUUUAAUGGUGGUGACAUUGAGGGAUAUGCCUGCUGUGGUGGCACACCUCUGGUCCUGGCUAAUCAAGAGGCUGAGGAAGGAGAAUUGCUUAAGCUCAGGAGUCACAGUGAGACCCCAUUACAACAAAACAAACAAACAAAAACAACAAAAAAACAAACUUUGGGGUUGGGGUUAUAACUCAGUGGUAGACCACCCGAAUAGCAUGCACACGCACAAAGCCCUCAUUGCAAUCCUCAACACUGAAGAACAACAACAACAACAAAAAAGAAUAGGUCUCGAUAAAGAAGCUGGGCCAACACCCUUGGUUCCCAGCAGGCUCUGUGUACAUUGGAGACCAGACCAGGUCACUCAGAGUGACAGGGGCAGCUGCUGCCUGGUAGUUCCUAGAGGCCAGGAGGGACCCAGCUGCCUACUCUGUGCCCCCUCCCUGCCAGCCUCCCUGGCAGGCACACACUCUGGGACUCUUCCACAUUCCUGACAUCCCAUGUCAGGAGACAGAUGCUGGUAAUUCCCUGGUGCAAGCUUUGCUCAUCCAUCUCGCCUGCCCUCCCCAGCCUCUCUGGGCAGCAUGGCUACAGCUGGGGCCUGGCCCCCUUGGUCUGCCUGAGUUCUGAGCGGCUUCCAAGCCAGUGAAAAGCACUGGUCCUCCUUCCAGAUUCUGAUACUUGCUGGCUGCUUGUAUCUGUCAGGGCUCUGAGGAGAACAAGAGAGAGACAGUCACCCUGAUGUGGAAAGCCCCUGCCAAGGGACAGGAGACAGCUGGCUGGUGAAUGGGCACCUGGGAGGAAGGGUCAGAUUGUGCAUGGGGUGAGAGGAAUGAUACUGUGACAGAAGUUACCCUCCCUGAGCCUCCAUUUUCCUACCCGAAACACAGGAGUGAAUGACGACACCCACUCAGAGUGCUUGUAAGUGCUUAGUAAACAACAGCUGUUAUUGCACGGAGAUUAGGAGGGAAUGGCCUCCAGGACCCUGUGGCUGGCUGUGCAGAGCUGGUGAUCUCAUUCCCUUCUCAGGGCAGCCCUUCCAGAAAGGCAUGGUUGUUCCCAUUUCCCAGAUGAGGACACUGAGGCUUAAAAGGAGGAAGUAACUAGCUGAAGGACACAUGGCAAGGGGAGUAGGAGGAUUGGUGCUCAGGGCCAGGGGCUUUCUUCCACUGCAAAGCUCAUUCCAACACCCUGGGUAGGUACAAAAUAGGGGAGGUCUAUUUACAGGAUGCCCACACAUGGGGUACAUGGACAGUCCAAAUGCUCAAGCACGUAUGUGCCUAGCCCUAUGACCUUCAGCCCCUGUCAUCUCAGAGCCCUCACACAGGCUUUUUUUUUUCCCUGGGGACACUUUUCCUCUUAACACCAAGCCUACUCUUUCCAGAGCUCAUUCAAACCUCAGUCCUCAGGGCAGCCUCCUCGGGUCUUCCCCCCAUUCCAGAUCAGCUUCUAGACUGAGUCUCCCUCACUCAGGGGCUCUUAUCAGUGUAAUGAAAGCAUCACCCAAGGGGCUGGGGUUGUGGCUCAGUGGUAUAGCACUAGCCUAGCACAUGUGAGGCCCUGGGUUCGAUCCUCAGCACCACAUAAGAAUAAAUAAAAUAAAGGUAUUGUCUAACUACAACUAAAAAAUAAAUAUUAAAAAAAGAAAAGGAUUCCCCAAAUUGCACCUACCAGGAAGCAAGCACUGUUCAGACAGAGGAUGUGCGUUUUUUGUGUGGUGCUAAGAAACCCUGGGCCUCACACAUGCUUAUCUUCUGCUCUACCACAGACCUAAAGCCCAGCCACUAGAUAGUGAUUUUUGUUUUUGUUUUUUUUUUUUAAUAUUUAUUCUUAAGUUUUAGGUGAACACACUAUUUUUAUUUUACAUUUAUGUGGUGCUGAGGAUGGAACCCAGUGCCUCGUGCAUGCUAGGCAAGCACUGAAUCAUGAGCCACAACCCCAGCCUGGUGAUUUUGGUUUUUUUUUUUCAAGCAAUCAUUCUGAAACUGUAGCAUAUAUCUUAAUGACCCAGAGGGCCCCCACCUCACAAGUUUAUAUUUAGUACCUCUGGAGAGAAGUUUAGGAAUUUAUACUUCUAACCAGUUCCUGGGUGAUACAAAUGUUACUGGAGACAUGGGGGCUUUGCACUUUGGGAACAAGUUGGAUUUCAAGCACCAAAAUUAAUCAAUUAAUUAAAAAUUUUAAAGUAAGUCAGGUGCAGUGAUGUACACCUGUAAUCCCAGCAACUUGGAGAACUGAGGCAGGAGGAUUGCAAGUUCAAAGCCAGCCUCAACAACUUAGCAAGGCCCUGAUCAACUUAACAAAAAAAGGACUGAGACUGUGCUCAGUGGUUAUGUGCUCCUGGGUUCAAUCGAAGAAGAAGAAAGAAGAAAGAAGAAGGAAGAAGAAGAAGGAGAAGAAGGAGGAGGAGAAGAAGGAGGAGGAGGAGGAGGAGAAGGAGAAGAAGAGUUUUGAAGUAAAAAUAAAAAAGAAUUCAUUGUCCAAAAAUGUUUUCAAUGAAGAACAGGAUGCAGCUCAGUGGGUAGAGCACUUGCCUGGCAUGCAUGAAGGCCCUGGGUUUGAUCCCCAGCACUAGGAAAAUAAAAAUGUUCUCAAUGAAAAUAAACCCAAACCCUUGCUCCUCCUCUCUUCCUUCCCCAAGAGAAACUCUCUCCAUUUUCUCAGUCUUCCUGCCAGAUUCCUCCUCUAAACCUCAGUGUCCUCAUCUGGAAAUGGGGGACAAAAAUGCCUUCCUGUAAGGACAGCCAUGAGAAGAGCAUGAAAUCACAUCCAGUUUAGUUGUCACUGUCCUUGCCCACCCCCCCAGACCCUCAUCCAGGUAUGUGGUAGCACACACCUGUAAUCCCAGUGACUUGGGAGGCUGAGGCAGGAGGAUCACAAACUCUAGACCAGCCUCAGCAACUUAGCAAGACCCUCUACCACUGAGCUAUAAAAAAAUAAAAGGGGCUGGGGAUGUGGCUUCUUUGGUUUAGUGCCCUGAAUUCAAUCCCCAGUACCCAAAAAAGAGUGUCUGUUGACAAAAGAGAUGAAGGUGACCCAUUCCCAGGUCCAGGCACAGUUAAAAGCACAGUCAAGACUAUACAUACUUGGGCUGGGGUUGUAGCUCAGUGGUAGAGCCUUGCCUAGCACAUGUGAGGCAUUGGGUUUAAUCUUCUGCAACACAUAAA